rfam:Brachypodium distachyon strain Bd21 chromosome 5, whole genome shotgun sequence.
CUAGUACUACCUUCGUUCCAUAAUUCUUGUCAAAAUCUUACAUGUAUCUACACACUUUUUAGGAAUAGAUACAUCCAUUUUUGGGCAAAUUUGAGACAAGAAUUAUGGAACGGAGGGAGUAUUAA